UACGAAGGGUGCAAGCGUUACUCGGAAUUACUGGGCGUAAAGCGUGCGUAGGUGGUUCGUUAAGUCUGAUGUGAAAGCCCCUGGGCUCAACCUGGGAACUGCAUUGGAUACUGGCGAUCUGGAGUGCGGUAGAGGGUAGCGGAAUUCCCGGUGUAGCAGUGAAAUGCGUAGAUAUCGGGAGGAACAUCCGUGGCGAAGGCGGCUACCUGGACCAGCACUGACACUGAGGCACGAAAGCGUGGGGAGCAA
rnacentral:rRNA from 1 species